AUUCGUGAAUGAAUUUCAGUGAUUAGCUAGGGCAUAGGCAAGGCAAAGGCAUCCAUGUGGUUAAAAAGUAAUGACAGAUUCUGAAUUCACAUCAUUUAAAAAAGUAACAUUGAUUACAGACCUAAAUGUAAGAAAAUAAAACCAUAAAAAGGGAGGGAAUUCAACUCCCAAAACUGAAAACACCUCGUUCAAAAUUGAAGCAAAGUUACAAGAGCUGUAAAUGAUCAAGUUUUGUUAGAUGCUGAAUACAAACAGAUGCAGUGUGAUUUUCAGUUGUUAUCAGAAGAGAAGUUGGUGCUGGAAAAUGAACUACAAAAGUUGAAGGACAAAGAGAAAACUAAGCCUACAAAUAAUCGAACAAAGAAAGCUGUGAAAACAGUGAAGAAAAAAGACAAAGGAAAAUCUGAGGAUUCAGAAAAG
rnacentral:lncRNA from 10 species